AUACGUAGGUGGCAAGCGUUGUCCGGAAUUAUUGGGCGUAAAGCGCGCGCAGGCGGUUCCUUAAGUCUGAUGUGAAAGCCCCCGGCUCAACCGGGGAGGGUCAUUGGAAACUGGGGAACUUGAGUGCAGAAGAGAAGAGUGGAAUUCCACGUGUAGCGGUGAAAUGCGUAGAGAUGUGGAGGAACACCAGUGGCGAAGGCGACUCUUUGGUCUGUAACUGACGCUGAGGCGCGAAAGCGUGGGGAGCAAACAGGAUUAGAUACCCUGGUAGUCCACGCCGUAAACGAUGAGUGCUAAGUGUUAGAGGGUUUCCGCCCUUUAGUGCUGCAGCAAACGCAUUAAGCACUCCGCCUGGGGAGUACGGCCGCAAGGCUGAA
rnacentral:rRNA from 1 species